GACGAACCGUGCGAACGUUGUUCGGAAUCACUGGGCUUAAAGGGCGCGUAGGCGGCUCCGCAAGUCGGGGGGUGAAAUCUUUCGGCUUAACCGGAAAAGUGCCUCUGAUACUGCGGAGCUCGAGGGAGGUAGGGGCGGACGGAACUUCCGGUGGAGCGGUGAAAUGCGUUGAUAUCGGAAGGAACGCCGGUGGCGAAAGCGGUCCGCUGGCCCUCUACUGACGCUGAGGCGCGAAAGCCAGGGGAGCAAAGCGGG
rnacentral:rRNA from 1 species